rnacentral:rRNA from 1 species
GCAUAUCAAUAAGCGGAGGAAAAGAAACCAACAGGGAUUGCCUCAGUAACGGCGAGUGAAGCGGCAAGAGCUCAAAUUUGAAAGCUGGCCCCUUCGGGGUCCGCAUUGUAAUUUGCAGAGGAUGCUUCGGGAGCGGCCCCCAUCUAAGUGCCCUGGAACGGGCCGUCAUAGAGGGUGAGAAUCCCGUCUGGGAUGGGGUGCCCGCGCCCGUGUGAAGCUCCUUCGACGAGUCGAGUUGUUUGGGAAUGCAGCUCUAAAUGGGUGGUAAAUUUCAUCUAAAGCUAAAUACUGGCCGGAGACCGAUAGCGCACAAGUAGAGUGAUCGAAAGAUGAAAAGCACUUUGAAAAGAGAGUUAAACAGCACGUGAAAUUGUUGAAAGGGAAGCGCUUGCGACCAGACUCGCUCGCGGGGUUCAGCCGGCCUUCGGGCCGGUGUACUUCCCCGCGGGCGGGCCAGCGUCGGUUUGGGCGGCCGGUCAAAGGCCCUCGGAAUGUAACGCCCCCCGGGGCGUCUUAUAGCCGAGGGUGCCAUGCGGCCAGCCCGGACCGAGGAACGCGCUUCGGCUCGGACGCUGGCAUAAUGGUCGUAAGCGACCCGUCUUGAAACACGGACCAAGGAGUCUAACAUCUACGCGAGUGUUCGGGUGUCAAACCCGUGCGCGCAGUGAAAGCGAACGGAGGUGGGAACCCCUCGGGGUGCACCAUCGACCGAUCCUGAUGUCUUCGGAUGGAUUUGAGUAAGAGCGUAGCUGUUGGGACCCGAAAGAUGGUGAACUAUGCCUGAAUAGGGCGAAGCCAGAGGAAACUCUGGUGGAGGCUCGCAGCGGUUCUGACGUGCAAAUCGAUCGUCAAAUUUGGGUAUAGGGGCGAAAGACUAAUCGAACCAUCUAGUAGCUGGUUCCUGCC